GAAUUUUGGACAAUGGGCGAAAGCCUGAUCCAGCAAUGCCGCGUGCAGGAUGAAGGCCUUCGGGUUGUAAACUGCUUUUGUACGGUACGAAAAGCUUUGGGUUAAUACCUUGCAUUCCUGACGGUACCGUAAGAAUACGCAACGCCUAUCUACGUUCCAGCAGCCGCGGUAACACGUAGGGAGCAAGAGUUAAUCGGACUUACUGGGCGUAAAGCGUGCGCAGGCGGGUUUGUAAGACAGAGGUGAAAUCCCCGGGCUCAACCUGGGAACUGCCUUUGUGACUGCAAGGCUAGAGUACGGCAGAGGGGGGUGGAAUUCCGCGUGUAGCAGUGAAAUGCGUAGAUAUGCGGAGGAACACCGAUGGCGAAGGCAACCCCCUGGGCCUGUACUGACGCUCAUGCACGAAAGCGUGGGGAGCAAACA
rnacentral:rRNA from 1 species